rnacentral:rRNA from 1 species
UGGGGAAUUUUGGACAAUGGGCGAAAGCCUGAUCCAGCAAUGCCGCGUGUGUGAAGAAGGCCUUCGGGUUGUAAAGCACUUUUGUCCGGAAAGAAAUCCUUGGCUCUAAUACAGUCGGGGGAUGACGGUACCGGAAGGAUAAGCACCGGCUAACUACGUGCCAGCAGCCGCGGUAAUACGUAGGGUGCAAGCGUUAAUCGGAAUUACUGGGCGUAAAGCGUGCGCAGGCGGUUUGCUAAGACCGAUGUGAAAUCCCCGGGCUCAACCUGGGAACUGCAUUGGUGACUGGCAGGCUAGAGUAUGGCAGAGGGGGGUAGAAUUCCACGUGUAGCAGUGAAAUGCGUAGAGAUGUGGAGGAAUACCGAUGGCGAAGGCGAGCCCCCUGGGCCAAUACUGACGCUCAUGCACGAAAGCGUGGGGAGCAAAACAGGAUUAGAUACCCUGGUAGUCCACGCCCUAAACGAUGUCAACUAGUUGUUGGGGAUUCAUUUCCUUAGUAACGUAGCUAACGCGUGAAGUUGACCGCCUGGGGGAGUACGGUCGCAAGAUUAAAACUCAAAGGAAUUG